rnacentral:rRNA from 1 species
AGACAGAGGUGGCAAGCGUUGUUCGGAUUUACUGGGCGUAAAGAGCAUGUAGGCGGUUAGAUUAGUCAGUUGUGAAAUCCUAUGGCUUAACCAUAGAAUUGCACCUGAUACUGUCUAGCUAGAGUGCAGGAGAGGAGAGUGGAAUUUCCAGUGUAGCGGUGAAAUGCGUAGAUAUUGGAAGGAACACCGGUGGCGAAGGCGGCUCUCUGGUCUGUAACUGACGCUGAGAUGCGAAAGCGUGGGUAGCAAACAGGAUUAGAUACCCCAGUAGUCC